ensembl:snRNA U6 U6 spliceosomal RNA
GUGCUCACUUUGUCAGCACAUGCAUUAAAAUUGGAACACUACAGAGAAGACUGGCAUGGCAGGGAUGACACACAAACUGGUGAAGUAUUCUGUUGUUGU